rnacentral:tRNA from 1 species
GGUUGUGGUUCAGUGGUGGAGUGCUCGCCUAGCACGUGGGAGGCCCUGGGUUUGAUCCUCAGCACCA